GGAUUGCUACAGUGAAUCAAUAAGAUAGACAUAUUUUGGUUCCUAUGGGUCCUUCAUCAGGAUUGAAACUAAAGGAGAGUACAGAAUUCUGUAAUGAUAAUUUGCAUUUCACAAUGACACCAUCAGGAUAAAUUACAAAUAGGGAGUGAACGUAGAUGUGAACUUUAACUGGAUCAAGAAUGUUAAAUAAAAUAUGUUUUUGUAAAUUUGGACGACAUUUGACUUGCAAUUAUGUACCAUUACCGUGGCUGGAGAUAGUACAGACUUGCAUACCAUACCAUUUCAACACUGGAAGAAGUAUGUUUGUCUGAGCGAAGCCAAUUGGAAGCACGUACCUCUUAGUGAAGCUAAUUGGGAGCACAUACCCUCUGUCUUGUUGCGAAGCUGAUUGGAAGCAGUACAUAUAUACCUCUGUCUGCUAAAGCUAAUUAGAAGCAGUACCCCCGGCAGAGUGGUCCCAAUUAGAGGCAGUAACUCUGAGCGAAGCCAAUUGGAAGCAUGUACCUCUGCAAAAUUUGAUUAAACACUAUUCAACAAAUUUUAU
rnacentral:lncRNA from 1 species